GGGUCGGUAGCUGAGACGGAGUAGCGCCAGGCUGAAGACCUGGAAACGUGGAUUCGAGCGCCACCCGACCCA
rnacentral:tRNA from 1 species